rnacentral:lncRNA from 1 species
GUCGAUUUCUCGCUCCAGUGGACUUGGUUGCUGCCACAAGCAGCCCUAAGGACUCCAGUCCUUGCACGCUCUUCCCGCCUGUCGCUUUGGCGCAGAUUUGGCUUAGCUUUUACACGCUCAAUGGAAUACUUUUGCUUUUCAAAACACUUUCGCUAUAUUCUCUCUUAAGCUCAAGCGAACCUUUGCAAAAACGGCCGGAUUACCCUCGUACGGAUGUGGACAGGGAGGGGAGUACCGUUUCUGUCCCUGUCCCAGGAUUGGGUUUGUGGCUUGCUGGUGAGUGGGAAGAACUAAACAAUCUGUAAUCAGUAUUUAAUUAACCGUUUUAAAGAAAUUCAAUCAAGAUGACUCCGACGAACCGUUUCGUUCCCCGGAGGUUAAUUAACUUUGCAACAGUGAAAACAAUGUUGUGAAGCCGGUUCAGUCAGCCGUCCCAGCCGGCCACCCCCACCACCGAGCGCCUGGAUCUCAGAGACUAUAAGAGCUAGGGCCACCCAAUUUUGCAUCCAGAUGGCUGUAUGCUCACACUGUUACAAGUGUAUUUUAAAAUUUCGCCCCAACUACUUCCGCCCCCCGCAAAUCGCAAAAAUCCGUUUUAUCCACAAUUUUAAAGAUAAAAGACGAGAAGGGACGUGUGAGACGCUUCUUACGCGUCACAACUUGUAUUCCCGGCACUCAGUACUACAUAUGCACCUUAGCGGUUAUUUUAAAUUUUUUCUUUAUCUUUCAUCUACAUCUACAACACUUCUCACACCAACACGCUUCUUUAGCUCGCCACCCUCCCCUAGAGCCACACACUGCAGAGUAGGGCAGAAACGCGGCAGAGACAGAGGCAGAGACUUGUCUGCGCGAAGCAAAGUGUGAAUGAGAGAAUGUAAAAAAAAAACAAAUAUAAGCUGCGGGACGGGGUGGGUUUAGCCAAUGCAAAUUAAUUUCUUCAUUGUGUCCAUAAUAAUGAUCCAAUCGGAUCCCAAAUUGGUGAUCUGAUAGAUAUGGUAAUUCCCUACGGAAUUCAAAGUAGCUUUGGGAGGUUUUCGCCCUUUUGGGGGGGCGGGGCUAUUUUUUUAAAUACACUGGUUUCAGUGUGAGCAUACAGCAGACCGGAGCCAAAAAUUUGGUGACUCUAGCUUUUAUAGUCUCUGAGAACUAGCCGACAAACAAGACGGACGGACGGACAGACAGACAUGGCUCUAUCGACUCGUCUAUUGAUGCUGAUCAAGAUCAAUAUAUAUACUUUAUGUGGUCGGAAACGCUUCCUUCUGUGCGUUACAUACAACCGUUAUUCGCACAAAUACAAUAUACCCUAUUUACUCUUCGAGUACCGGGUAUAAAAAGAAAACUAAAGCAAUUCCGUAGAAAUAGCUAUAUCUAUCAGAUCACCGAGUUGGGGUUAGACUGGAUCAUUAUUACAGCCAGAAUGAAGAAAUUAAUUUCAAAAUUAUCGAUUUGAAAAAAGUAGAAGUACCACUGAGUACCGGGUAUAAAAGUUGUGACGUAUAAGAACCGUCUAACACAUCCCUUCUCGUUUUACCAGUGUUUUUGUGCCAGUUUUGUGCCGCCGAGAAAUUCAUGAAGCAAUUAAGAAGCUACAACAGGACACAUCUUGGCGUUAAGGUUGCUGCUCGGAGAGAGUAAUUCGUGUUUGUUGCCUGACAGGGGGAACGGGGAACACACAUACGGAACCCUCCCAUCGAGCUUGUUCACAAGUUGCACGCACAUUAUUUCUAAGUUAAAUACAUACAUAUAUAUGCGGCGUUUAAAAUAGCACCAUGCAAAUAAUUUUUUCCUAU